UUGUUUUAUUUUAUCUGUAUAAUCAUUAAUAUGCUUUAAAUAAUUUUAUUUAAUGAAAAAAGAACAUACAGAGACGCAAUGUUACUCACCUUAAACGAGUGUCGACUUGCGCCUGCCUUUUCGCGUGAUUGUUAUGGAGUCAGUCGCGUCGCAGCAUUUUUCGGCUGUGAGUGACGCAGGACGGCGGUCUAAAUUUAGAAGUUUCCCCGCAGAGGCGAGUCCAUCUCCGGCAUGGGAACCAGCGCUGACCCGGUGAAUACUGGAUAACAGACCGGUUAUUACACUUGAAUUACUUUAAUGUUUAGGCCUAAAUGUUUAAUUUUUACAUCGAAAAUGUUUCUUACAUGAGUUUAGAUGUAGUCAAUAUUGUAUAACUUAUGUGUUAAAAAUAGAAUAAAAUAUGUUUGCUGUAAUGUUAGGAUAUUAAUUGACAAUAAAGGCCGUGUCAUGUAGUUAUGCUGGUGGUUGUAUGGAAUAUUUUACAAAGGUUUAGAGGAAAUAAAAAAAGUUAAUAUUACUGCCAUAUAAACACAGUUUAUAUUACUCAUAAUUAUUUGUUUUUAAAUGUUUCCCCCCAAUUAUUUCUACUCAAGUUUAUUUGUUAAUGUACCAAAUGCAGUUACUCAGAUCUAUUUAAUUUGUUUUACUAACAUUUACUCAGUUAAUACAGUGUAAGUAAUUGCUUUCACUGCUUAAAAAUUUAAUCAAUAUUCUAAGUUUAAAAAGGUUAGUAAAUCAUAUUAAAUGUUUUUAGAGUGCAUCAACACCAGAGUUCAUGUCACAUACUAAAACAUAUUCGAGCCAAUUUUAAUCACUGUUCUAGAAACAUAUUUGAUUCAACUUUGUUCAUUUGCAAUAAUAUGUUGUUGUUUUUUUAUGAAUUUUUUUCUUCUGCUGAACAAGAAGAAAGAUAUUUAUUUGGUACCGGUUUUGACAUUUUCUCACUAAAUAAAUUAUUGCGAUUUAAACAUG